rnacentral:lncRNA from 1 species
GGAAAUUCAAACCAAGCCAUAUCCGGCGUUCUACUAAAGUUUGCACAGCUUUAUCUCAAAAACUAGCCAGAUUUUGACACAUAGGCUUUUGUAAAAGUUGUAGAGUAGGGUUUGGGAAACAAGUUUUGUAUUUGAAGAUUUUGAAGUUUCAAUUAAAAAUUUGAAGCAAAAUCACCCCAAACACACUGCUCUCGCGCGCCACCGUGAA